rnacentral:rRNA from 1 species
UGGGGAAUAUUGCACAAUGGGCGGAAGCCUGAUGCAGCGACGCCGCGUGGGGGAUGAAGGCCUUCGGGUUGUAAACUCCUUUCGACAGGGACGAAGCGUUUGUGACGGUACCAGUAGAAGAAGCACCGGCUAACUACGUGCCAGCAGCCGCGGGAAGACGGAGGGUGCGAGCGUUGUCCGGAAUUACUGGGCGUAAAGAGCGCGUAGGUGGUUUGUCGCGUCGUCUGUGAAAUUCCGGGGCUUAACUCCGGGCGUGCCGGCGGUACGGGCUGACUUGAGUGCUGUAGGGGAGACUGGAAUUCCUGGUGUAGCGGUGAAAUGCGCAGAUAUCAGGAGGAACACCGAUGGCGAAGGCAGGUCUCUGGGCAGUAACUGACGCUGAGGGGCGAAAGCAUGGGUAGCGAACAGG